CCUAUCCUAAACAAAGGUGUACUAACCACACACUACACUCGCCAGAGAAUUACGAGCAAUACGCUUAAAACUCAAAGGACUUGACGGUAUUUCGAAUCCACCUAGAGGAGCCUGUCCUGUAAUCGACAACACACGAUUAACCCCACCACCUUUUGCCUUAAACAGCCUGUAUACCGCCGUCGCAAGCUUACCCCCUGAGGGCUAUAAUAUCUAGCACAACAGCUUAAUUUUUUUGAGCUAAUACGUCAGGUCAAGGUGCAGCCAAUAGGGUGGCAGAGAUGAGCUACAUUUUCUAUAAUCUAGAAAUCAGUCACGGAGGGACCUGUGAAAUUCAGUCCUGUUAAAGUAGGAUUUAGUAGUAAAUUAGGAGAAGAGUGCCUAAUUGAAAAGGGCCCCGAAAUAUGUACACACCGCCCGUCA
rnacentral:rRNA from 1 species